UACGUAGGACCCAAGCGUUGUCCGGAUUUACUGGGUGUAAAGGGUGCGCAGGCGGAUGGGUAAGUCAGAGGUGAAAGUCUGCAGCUUAACUGUAGAAUUGCCUUUGAUACUGCUUGUCUUGAGUGUGGGAGAGGUUGAUGGAAUUCCAGGUGUAGCAGUGAAAUGCGUAGAUAUCUGGAAGAACACCAGUGGCGAAGGCGGUCAACUGGCCCAUAACUGACGCUCAUGCACGAAAGCGUGGGGAGCAAACAGGAUUAGAUACCCUGGUAGUCCACGCCCUAAACGAUGUAUGCUUGGUGUUGGCAAGCAAUUGUCAGUGCCGAAGGUAACCCAUUAAGCAUACCACCUGGGGAGUACGAUCGCAAGGUUG
rnacentral:rRNA from 1 species